rnacentral:rRNA from 1 species
GACGAACGCUGGCGGCGUGCUUAACACAUGCAAGUCGAGCGGAAAGGCCUCUUCGGGGGUACUCGAGCGGCGAACGGGUGAGUAACACGUGAGUAAUCUGCCCUUCACUCUGGGAUAGCCACCGGAAACGGUGAUUAAUACCGGAUACGACACGUCCAGGCAUCUGGUGCGUGUGGAAACUUUUUGGGUGGGGGAUGUGCUCGCGGCCUAUCAGCUUGUUGGUGGGGUAAUGGCCUACCAAGGCUCCGACGGGUAGCCGGCCUGAGAGGGUGACCGGCCACACUGGGACUGAGACACGGCCCAGACUCCUACGGGAGGCAGCAGUGGGGAAUAUUGGACAAUGGGCGGAAGCCUGAUCCAGCAACGCCGCGUGAGGGAUGACGGCCUUCGGGUUGUAAACCUCUUUCAGCACCGGCGAAGCGAUCCUUUGGGGAGUGACGGUAGGUGCAGAAGAAGGACCGGCCAACUACGUGCCAGCAGCAGCCGCGGUAA